CUUAAUUAAAUUAUCCAACAGUUGUUUAUUGAUUGUGCUUGUCUUUCUGUUUCAGAUCUCACAUUCUUGAAGGUGGCAUUGAAGAGCACUAAGAUCGGAAGAUGAGUGAGCUUGACCAGUUACGGCAGGAGGCCGAGCAACUUAAGAACCAGAUUCGAGUAUGUAGUUGUGUGUGCUUGGUUUUAUUAAUCAUUUGAGUUUCAGGUUAGAUGUUACUCGUUUUAGGAAAAAUGGUUUACAGGAUGACUUGUUCUAUGUUUUAUAUUGAAAUUGAAUCUUAGUUGGCCCAGGAUGUACUAAUUAUAGAUCUAGAUACUUAGCCUAGUACAUUGUUUUCGGGAUUUUGCUUUCUGUAUACAAUUUGUUAUUUGAAUAUACACCAGAUGUCUCUGUAGAAUUUAUAAGUGUCUUUUGCAUUCUUUAUCAUAACCUUGAAAAUUUGUGAUACCCUGGGCCACUGAUCAGACUGUGAUAUAUCUACCUCCCUCCCCUGAAUAUUGGGACUAUUGACAGCAGAAAACUUGCUUAAAAGUAAGAGUAUUAACAACAAUAAAAAAAGUAUUUCAGAUA
rnacentral:sRNA from 1 species